CCGGCGGGAUGCUUUACACAUGCAAGUCGAACGGCAGCACGGACUUCGGUCUGGUGGCGAGUGGCGAACGGGUGAGUAAUGUAUCGGAACGUGUCAUAGUGGGAUAACUACGCUAAAGGCUACUGUCGCACAUUACCCUUCGGGGGAAAGCGGGGACCUUCGGGCCUCGCACUAUUAGAGCGUCGAUAUCGGAUUAGCUAGUUGGUGGGUAAACGGUCACCGGGCGACGAUCCGUGGCUGGUUUGAGAGGACGACCAGCCACACUGACUGAGACACGGCCCAGACUCCGCCGGGAGGCAGCAGUGGGGAAUUUGGACAAUGGGGAAACCCUGAUCCAGCCAUCCCGCGUGUGCGAUGAAGGCCUUCGGGUUGUAAAGCACUUUUGGCAGGAAAGAAAACGGCACGGGAUAAUACCCCGUGCAACUGACGGUACCUGCAGAAUAAGCACCGCUAACUACGCCAGCAGCCGCGGUAAUACGUAGGGUGCAAGCGUUAACGUGGACUACUGGGCGUAAAGCGCGCAGGCGGUUCGGAAAGAAAGAUGUGAAAUCCCAGAGCUUAACUUUGGAACUGCAUUUUUAACUACCGAGCUAGAGUGUGUCAGGAGGGAGGUGGAAUUCCGCGUGUAGUAGGAAUGCGUAGAUAUGCGGAGGAACACCGAUGGCGAAGGUACUCUCCUGGGAUAACACUUGACGCCUAUGCACGAAAGCGUAAGCAAACAGGAUUAGAUACCCCUGGUAGUCCACGCCCUAAACGAUGUCAAGGCUGUUGGGGCCUUCGGGCCUUGGUAGCGCAGCUAACGCGUGCAGUUGACCGCCUGGGGAGUACGGUCGCAAGAUUGAAACUCAAAGGAAUGAUUGGGACUCCGCACAAGCGGUAGAUGAUGUGGAUUAAUUCGAUGCAACGCGAAAAACCUUACCUACCCUUGACAUCUGGAAUCCCGAAGAGACGGGGAGGCUCGCGGGGCAGAACCGGAACACAGGUGCUGCAUGGCUGUCGUCAGCUCGUGUCGUGAGAUGUUGGGUUAAGUCUCAACGAGCGCAACCCUUGUCAUUAGUUGCUACGAAAGGGCACUUUAAUGAGAUCUGCCGGCACAACCGAGGAAGGUGGGGAUGACGUCAAGUCCUCAUAUCUUUAUGGGUAGGGCUUCACACGUCAUACAAUGGUCGGGACAGAGGGUCGCCAACCUCAUGAGGGGAGCCAAUCCCAGAAACCCGAUCGUAGUCCGGAUCGCGGUCUGCAACCUCGGACUGCGGAAGUCGGAAUCGCUAGUAAUCGCGGAUCAGCAUGUCGCGGUGAAUACGUUCCCGGUCUUGUACACACCGCCCGUCACACCAUGGGGAGUGGGUUUUACCAGAGUGUUAGGCCUAACCGUAAGGAGGGCGAUUACCACGGUAGGAUUCAUGACUGGGGUGAAGUCGUAACAAGGUAG
rnacentral:rRNA from 1 species